CAAGUACUCCCUCCGUUCCGAAUUACUUGUCGCAGAAAUGGAUGUAUCUAGAACUAAAAAAUGUCUAGAUACAUCCAUUUCUACGACAAGUAAUUCCGAACAGAGGGAGUAAAAG
rnacentral:pre_miRNA from 1 species